GACGAACGCUGGCGGCGUGCCUAAUACAUGCAAGUCGAGCGAAGUUUUUCUGGUGCUUGCACUAGAAAAACUUAGCGGCGAACGGGUGAGUAACACGUAAAGAACCUGCCUCAUAGACUGGGACAACUAUUGGAAACGAUAGCUAAUACCGGAUAACAGCGUUAACUGCAUGGUUGAUGUUUAAAAGUUGGUUAUGCUAACACUAUGAGAUGGCUUUGCGGUGCAUUAGCUAGUUGGUGGGGUAAAGGCCCACCAAGGCGACGAUGCAUAGCCGACCUGAGAGGGUGAUCGGCCACACUGGGACUGAGACACGGCCCAGACUCCUACGGGAGGCAGCAGUAGGGAAUCUUCCGCAAUGGGCGAAAGCCUGACGGAGCAACGCCGCGUGAGUGAAGAAGGAUUUCGGUUCGUAAAGCUCUGUUGUUAGGGAAGAAUGGAUAUGUAGUAACUAUACAUGUAAGAGACGGUACCUAACCAGAAAGCCACGGCUAACUACGUGCCAGCAGCCGCGGUAAUACGUAGGUGGCAAGCGUUGUCCGGAAUUAUUGGGCGUAAAGCGCGCGCAGGUGGUUUAAUAAGUCUGAUGUGAAAGCCCACGGCUCAACCGUGGAGGGUCAUUGGAAACUGUUAAACUUGAGCGCAGGAGAGAAAAGUGGAAUUCCUAGUGUAGCGGUGAAAUGCGUAGAGAUUAGGAGGAACACCAGUGGCGAAGCGGCUUUUUGGCCUGUAACUGACACUGAGGCGCGAAAGCGUGGGGAGCAAACAGG
rnacentral:rRNA from 1 species